AAGGCUCGCCGGAGACCGGGAGAAAGGGAAGGAUGGCUAUCUCCCAGCAGGAAUCGAGCAGGACUCCUAGUGAGUGUUGAAACGUGACCGGCGUUCAGACCCCAGUUCCGUCACGGUGGGCCCCGAGGCCCGUGGCCUGGCCUCUCCAGGGCUCUGUUUCUCUACCUGCAAAACAGGGACCAUCACGACUGGACAGGGUGGCAGCAUAACCACCCGGGGAGAACGCCGGGCACACCCCAGGCUAACAGCCGCCACCGUCCACGCGGGUACACGCUUAACCGCUCAGCGCGGCUUCUGUGUCCGAUAACCACACUGCGACUUCCCUCUGGGCAACCGGGCUUGCUCCCACUGCCAGCCCACGUGGCUUAGGUGCUGUGCACUCCGCCCCCCUCCCCCGUGGACAUGGCCAUGUGACUCAGGAUGGCCAAUCACCGCCCCCUCCUCCUGCCUUUGGGAUUGGCUGGCUGAGACCAUGUGACCCGACGAGAGCCAAUCGGGCUGAUGCAUUGUAGACCGUCGCCGGAUCUUUUAGCGGAAGAGCGUGUUCUCCUGGUGCGCUGCAGCUGAACCCAUGAGCCUCGAGUUGCCGUCAGCCGCUUGGGAAAGCCAAGGCGGGGAGUUUGAACGUAGGGAAACGGAAAGAAAGCCCCUAGAUGAAGCCAUUCCACAAUCCAUCAACUUUUUCAGCUACGCCAGCCAAUAAAUUGCCCUUGGGGCUUAAGUCA